CAGAAAACAAGGCAUCUGCUCAGUGUUGAACAUCUGAAGUCCUCGCGUGAGUGCACCUGCGUGCAGAUGUCUCCUGGUGUUUAUUAUGGCUGUGCUCUGUGAUUACAGUGCACUGGCAAAGGGCUGUAGUGUACUGAACAAUGAUGCCUGUUUUUAUUAGGGUUCCUGAAGUGGUUCAGGAGCUUCCAUUGACUUCGCCUGUGGAUGACUUCAGGCAGCCUCGUUACAGCAGCAGUGGUAACUUUGAGACACCUUCAAAAAGAGCACCUGCAAAGGGAAGAGCAGGAAGGUCAAAGAGAACAGAGCAAGAUCACUAUGAGACAGACUACACAACUGGCGGCGAGUCCUGUGAUGAGCUGGAGGAGGACUGGAUCAGGGAAUAUCCACCUAUCACUUCAGAUCAACAAAGACAACUGUACAAGAGGAAUUUUGACACUGGCCUACAGGAAUACAAGAGCUUACAAUCAGAACUUGAUGAGAUCAAUAAAGAACUCUCCCGUUUGGAUAAAGAAUUAGAUGACUAUAGAGAAGAAAGUGAAGAGUACAUGGCUGCUGCUGAUGAAUACAAUAGACUGAAGCAAGUGAAGGGAUCUGCAGAUUACAAAAGUAAGAAGAAUCAUUGCAAGCAGUUAAAGAGCAAAUUGUCACACAUCAAAAAGAUGGUUGGAGACUAUGAUAGACAGAAAACAUAGAAGGCUGAUGCCAAGUUGUUUGAGAAAUUAAGUAUCUGAC
rnacentral:sRNA from 1 species